rnacentral:rRNA from 1 species
UAAGGAAUAUUGGUCAAUGGACGCAAGUCUGAACCAGCCAUGCCGCGUGAAGGAUGAAGGUCCUCUGGAUUGUAAACUUCUUUUAUCUGGGACGAAAACGGGAUUUUUAUCUCAAUUGACGGUACCAGAGGAAUAAGCACCGGCUAACUCCGUGCCAGCAGCCGCGGUAAUACGGAGGGUGCGAGCGUUAUCCGGAUUUACUGGGUUUAAAGGGUGCGUAGGUGGGCUUAUAAGUCAGUGGUGAAAUCUCCGAGCUUAACUUGGAAACUGCCGUUGAUACUAUAGGUCUUGAAUUAUCUGGAGGUAAGCGGAAUAUGUCAUGUAGCGGUGAAAUGCUUAGAUAUGACAUAGAAUACCAAUUGCGAAGGCAGCUUACUACAUAUAAAUUGACGCUGAGGCACGAAAGCGUGGGGAUCAAACA